AUUGAACGCUGGCGGCAUGCCUUACACAUGCAAGUCGAACGGCAGCACGGGUGCUUGCACCUGGUGGCGAGUGGCGAACGGGUGAGUAAUACAUCGGAACAUGUCCUAUAGUGGGGGAUAGCCCGGCGAAAGCCGGAUUAAUACCGCAUACGAUCUACGGAUGAAAGCGGGGGACCUUCGGGCCUCGCGCUAUAGGGUUGGCCGAUGGCUGAUUAGCUAGUUGGUGGGGUAAAGGCCUACCAAGGCGACGAUCAGUAGAUGGUCUGAGAGGACGACCAGCCACACUGGGACUGAGACACGGCCCAGACUCCUACGGGAGGCAGCAGUGGGGAAUUUUUGACAAUGGGCGAAAGCCUGAUCCAGCAAUGCCGCGUGUGUGAAGAAGGCCUUCGGGUUGUAAAGCACUUUUGUCCGGAAAGAAAUCCUUGGCUCUAAUACAGUCGGGGGAUGACGGUACCGGAAGAAUAAGCACCGGCUAACUACGUG
rnacentral:rRNA from 1 species